UACGGAAGGGGGCUAGCGUUGUUCGGAAUUACUGGGCGUAAAGCGCACGUAGGCGGAUAUUUAAGUCAGGGGUGAAAUCCCAGAGCUCAACUCUGGAACUGCCUUUGAUACUGGGUAUCUUGAGUAUGGAAGAGGUAAGUGGAAUUGCGAGUGUAGAGGUGAAAUUCGUGAGAUAGUUGGGAAGAACACCGGUGGCGAAGGCGGCGCUCUGGACCGAGACGUGACGCUGAGGCGCGACAGCGUGGGGAGCAACAGG
rnacentral:rRNA from 1 species